AACGACUCUCGGCAACGGAUAUCUCGGCUCACGCAUCGAUGAAGAACGUAGCAAAAUGCGAUACUUGGUGUGAAUUGCAGAAUCCCGUGAACCAUUGAGUUUUUGAACGCAAGUUGCGCCCGAAGCCUUUUGGUUGAGGGCACGUCUGCCUGGGCGUCACGCA
rnacentral:rRNA from 1 species